UUGUUUUUUACUUUCUUGCACAAUUUUGGGGUCCAAUGAGGGGGGCCAACAUCUUUAGUCAAUUUAGACGUCGGAACCUCCUAAAACUGACGUCUAAAUAGGUUUUUUAUUUACAAAAUUGUUAUUGAUAAUUUGUAACGUUGGAUUUUCUGUGGUCAGACAUUAUAGGCGUGAUAUUAUUCCAUAUUUUUGCACUAAUGUUAGUUCAAAGUACUUUGAAA
rnacentral:lncRNA from 1 species